rnacentral:rRNA from 1 species
UACGAAGGGAGCUAGCGUUGUUCGGAAUCACUGGGCGUAAAGCGCGCGCAGGCGGACUGAUCAGUCUGGGGUGAAAUCUCACGGCUCAACUGUGAGCGGUCCCUGGAUACUGUCAGUCUUGAGAUGUCUAGAGGAGAGCGGAAUUCCCGGUGUAGUGGUGGAAUGCGUAGAUAUCGGGAAGAACACCAGUGGCGAAAGCGGCUCUCUGGGGACCAUCUGACGCUGAGGCGCGAAAGCGUGGGGAGCGAACCGGG